rnacentral:lncRNA from 1 species
GGAGCAUCUCAGUGUGGCAGGGUCAAGGUGCCAGGAGCAUCCUGAACAGAUGGUAAAGGCAGGUGUGUCCUGCAUUUCCUAGCAACACCAUGCGGGGGGUGUUGUCUGACUGCCACAUAGAAACUUUUACUGCAGUGCAGACAGCGACAAUUCCAAACCGAUAAUGAAAGACCCUAAAAUAGGCCCUAUGUAUCAGGCUGCCCUGUGUCCCUGGGAAAGAGCCAUGUGUCAACUGGAUGUCAACCCCAGCAUUUUCUUACUGACCCACCUCCCUGACUUUUAUCUCUGAGCAUGCAGAUAAGCACAUAUGACAGUCUCUAGAGAUUAUUUCUAAAUAUACCAACCCCUGUUUAUACCAAAAUGGGUUCCCUGUGUUGGCAGGUUGAAAGGCACUUCCAAAGCCAGCAGGCUCCAGAAUGCCAAAUAUGGCCAAGCUCAGACCCCGCAAGGUAGACCACAGGGAGGCUCCCCACAGGUGCCAGGGCUAUGGGCUAUUUUCAUUUCCAAACAAAAUUUUCCACCCUAUAAACCCUAAAGUAUUUUAUCGAAGCAGGGGGGUCUAAUUCAUCCAUUUGCUGCGGAAAGGGCAACAUCUUCAGCAGGGAAGAGACAGCUAUUUUGAGUCACGGCA